CGGACGAGAAGCUUGCUUCUCUGAUGUUAGCGGCGGACGGGUGAGUAACACGUGGAUAACCUACCUAUAAGACUGGGAUAACUUCGGGAAACCGGAGCUAAUACCGGAUAAUAUUUUGAACCGCAUGGUUCAAAAGUGAAAGACGGUCUUGCUGUCACUUAUAGAUGGAUCCGCGCUGCAUUAGCUAGUUGGUAAGGUAACGGCUUACCAAGGCAACGAUGCAUAGCCGACCUGAGAGGGUGAUCGGCCACACUGGAACUGAGACACGGUCCAGACUCCUACGGGAGGCAGCAGUAGGGAAUCUUCCGCAAUGGGCGAAAGCCUGACGGAGCAACGCCGCGUGAGUGAUGAAGGUCUUCGGAUCGUAAAACUCUGUUAUUAGGGAAGAACAUAUGUGUAAGUAACUGUGCACAUCUUGACGGUACCUAAUCAGAAAGCCACGGCUAACUACGUGCCAGCAGCCGCGGUAAUACGUAGGUGGCAAGCGUUAUCCGGAAUUAUUGGGCGUAAAGCGCGCGUAGGCGGUUUUUUAAGUCUGAUGUGAAAGCCCACGGCUCAACCGUGGAGGGUCAUUGGAAACUGGAAAACUUGAGUGCAGAAGAGGAAAGUGGAAUUCCAUGUGUAGCGGUGAAAUGCGCAGAGAUAUGGAGGAACACCAGUGGCGAAGGCGACUUUCUGGUCUGUAACUGACGCUGAUGUGCGAAAGCGUGGGGAUCAAACAGGAUUAGAUACCCUGGUAGUCCACGCCGUAAACGAUGAGUGCUAAGUGUUAGGGGGUUUCCGCCCCUUAGUGCUGCAGCUAACGCAUUAAGCACUCCGCCUGGGGAGUACGACCGCAAGGUUGAAACUCAAAGGAAUUGACGGGGACCCGCACAAGCGGUGGAGCAUGUGGUUUAAUUCGAAGCAACGCGAAGAACCUUACCAAAUCUUGACAUCCUUUGACAACUCUAGAGAUAGAGCCUUCCCCUUCGGGGGACAAAGUGACAGGUGGUGCAUGGUUGUCGUCAGCUCGUGUCGUGAGAUGUUGGGUUAAGUCCCGCAACGAGCGCAACCCUUAAGCUUAGUUGCCAUCAUUAAGUUGGGCACUCUAAGUUGACUGCCGGUGACAAACCGGAGGAAGGUGGGGAUGACGUCAAAUCAUCAUGCCCCUUAUGAUUUGGGCUACACACGUGCUACAAUGGACAAUACAAAGGGCAGCGAAACCGCGAGGUCAAGCAAAUCCCAUAAAGUUGUUCUCAGUUCGGAUUGUAGUCUGCAACUCGACUACAUGAAGCUGGAAUCGCUAGUAAUCGUAGAUCAGCAUGCUACGGUGAAUACGUUCCCGGGUCUUGUACACACCGCCCGUCACACCACGAGAGUUUGUAACACCCGAAGCCGGUGGAGUAACCUUUUAGGAGCUAGCCGUCGAAGGUGGGACAAAUGAUUGGGGUGAAGUCGUAACAAGGUAGCCGUAUCGGAAGGUGCGGCUGGAUCACCUCCUUU
rnacentral:rRNA from 1 species